rnacentral:tRNA from 1 species
AAUUAGAUAAGCUAAAUAUAAGCUAGUGGGUUCAUACCCCAACCAUGAGGUUACUCUCUAAUUA